AAGGCGGAACUUCUCGUGGGUCAACCUUAUAUAGUUGAACCAUGUCAAUCAGUUUCCCCAUUAAGUGAUCAUGAAACAAGGCGGCUCGCUUGAAGCGGGUUGGUAGUCGCAGCAGUACGCCGCGUGCGGGGCGCCACCUAGCAUCGCAGCUGCGGCCCAGCGGACGCCUGUGGCUGCUCGACAAUGUCUGGGUCAUCUAUCCCAUUUUCGUAACAAUACAAAUGACUUGGGAGCUAAGAGCAACGCGAACAAACUAUACGGGAGGCUGGAAGCGAUGAGGAUUAUUUUAUCGAACUUCAUCAAGCUGACAAUGGUGGGCAACAUGGCCUCGUCGACACUAAAACACCACGUGAGGAAAACAUCCUCAGCGACUUCCAGUCAAGUUUCUUUAGUAAAUGACACCAGAGAAAAAGAACUCAUGUAGUCGUCGUCCGGUGACGACAAGAAUGGAGAUUUAGAUUCGUUGAAAAGUCAAGAAUCCUAGCUCGUGGCUCCCAAAUGUCGGGAAAUUUAAUCCUGAUGUUAAUGAAAAUGACCAUAAGUUUUUAAGCUUUUCCCCAGAACAUCAGCCUAUCAAUAAUCUUCAUAGAAUCAUUCACUCAAAUGCUGCGACCGAAUUAACUUCAAAUGAUCUUGUUAAUCUUUCAGUUUCUAUGCUCCAGAGCGCUGAAUUAGGGGACACUUUAAUAAAUAAUUUCCCAGCUGACAUACCACCAUCAAUCAAUAGGACUGGCUUUAAAAUGAGUGUCUAAAAUUUCUGCAACGAAUCAAAAAAUCAAAACACUUCGUGAUAACGAGUUUGACAUUUCUUAUGAAAAAUUGAAAAAUCGUUUUCUGAAUUUAUUCCAAGAUGGCGGCUGGGAUGUGACAAAAUCCCCCAUACUGAUGACGGGUCCUCAGGUUCUAGUUACUGAACUGUACGACGUGAGCAAUUAUGUUACGGUAAAAGAGAUUAUGAAUGUCUUUUAUCUCACAGACUUUUAUAUUCAAAAAGAUUUAUUACAAGAGAAACCGAAAUUCAAAUGUUGGACUUGACAGCGAAGAAAGAAUUAGCUGUCAGGCUGGUCUUUGAUCAAGAAAUUACACCCACCUUUUGAAUACGAGGAAAACUCCUCAAGUGGCCAGCUUCUGAAAAUAAUUCGAUGUUUUUUUUUCUCUGUCUUAACUUGGAAUUACUGCAAGGGUAAGGAAGCAAAUCAAACAAUAUUUAGCAGUGGAUGAAGUCAAAAGUUACAUGGAAUGACUCAUUACAUCGGGCCCUCUUUAUGCAAGUGCGCUUGCCUAUUUACUGGACGUCAUCUCAGACACAGAUCUCGGGCAGAGAACAAGAAGAUCACAAAUCCUUCAGUUCGCUAAAAGAGUUCAUUCAGGUGCUGUCGAGAGCGUCGGAAACUACGGAGGCUAUGAAAGUAGUGAUUACGGCUACGAUGGUGGCUACGGUGAUGGAGGUGGUGGCUACGGUUACAUGCAACCAUCAUACCACCACAUGGAUCCGUAUCUGCUGUUGGCCGGCCUUGGGGCGGCCACCCUUCUCGCCUACAUCGCAUACAGGGUCUUAGCGACCACCAGCGCGACGAGUAGAGGCCUCGCGGCUAAAGUGCUUCCUACUGAAGAUGCAACGUUUAUACAUUCGGUUUUAUCUGCCAUUGAGCAAUCUGGAGAGAUCCAUGACGACUUGCUGGGGAUGCGAGAAUAACUAUUAAAGUUUUUCAACGAUGUCAGUCGCAUGCGUUCAGCAUCAACGCGGAAUCAUUUUAAUGUUGCAAGAUGCAUUUCGUGCGAUUUCUCCCAUUUUUCUGUUUUGUAACUUCAUAGCGACAAGUCAUGAAGUUAUAAGUUAUCGAUCAAUUUUUGAAUGGUUUUCAUUGAGCUGAUAAGUAGUAUAGUUUUAUAUUAUUUUUUGAACUAUACUUUAA